GACGAACGCUGGCGGCGUGCUUAACACAUGCAAGUCGAACGGCAAGGCCCUGCUUUUGUGGGGUGCUCGAGUGGCGAACGGGUGAGUAACACGUGAGUAACCUGCCCUUGACUUUGGGAUAACUUCAGGAAACUGGGGCUAAUACCGGAUAGGAGCUCCUGCUGCAUGGUGGGGGUUGGAAAGUUUCGGCGGUUGGGGAUGGACUCGCGGCUUAUCAGCUUGUUGGUGGGGUAGUGGCUUACCAAGGCUUUGACGGGUAGCCGGCCUGAGAGGGUGACCGGCCACAUUGGGACUGAGAUACGGCCCAGACUACUACGGGAGGCAGCAGUGGGGAAUAUUGCACAAUGGGCGGAAGCCUGAUGCAGCAACGCCGCGUGCUGGAUGACGGCCUUCGGGUUGUAAACCGCUUUCGCCUGUGACGAAGCGUGAGUGACGGUAAUGGGUAAAGAAGCACCGGCUAACUACGUG
rnacentral:rRNA from 1 species